rnacentral:rRNA from 1 species
AUUGAACGCUGGCGACAUGCCUUACACAUGCAAGUCGAACGGCAGCACAGGUGCUUGCACCUGGUGGCGAGUGGCGAACGGGUGAGUAAUACAUCGGAACAUGUCCUUUAGUGGGGGAUAGCCCGGCGAAAGCCGGAUUAAUACCGCAUACGGUCUACGGAUGAAAGCGGGGGACCUUCGGGCCUCGCGCUAUAGGGUUGGCCGAUGGCUGAUUAGCUAGUUGGUGGGGUAAAGGCCUACCAAGGCGACGAUCAGUAGCUGGUCUGAGAGGACGACCAGUCACACUGGGACUGAGACACGGCCCAGACUCCUACGGGAGGCAGCAGUGGGGAAGUUUGGACAGUGGGCGAAAGCCUGAUCCAGCAAUGCCGCGUGUGUGAAGAAGGCCUUCGGGUUGUAAAGCACUUUUGUCCGGAAAGAAAUCCUUGGCCCUAAUACGGUCGGGGGAUGACGGUACCGGAAGAAUAAGCACCGGCUAACUACGU